CUAAAACACUGAUGAAACACUUGUAACUUGAUUUUAGUCACUUAAUUUACUACCAAAAUUCUGAAACUCUUCACCUCUCUUAAUUUAAAAAUCUAAAUUUUCGUAUGUACUUCCCAUUUUCAAAAUUCUCUGUAAAGACGUUAAUAGCCUGUGACGCUGAAUGUCUUAAAAUAUACUAACUAACUAUUUUCAACAUGAAAAAAGAGCAGGUCUCAGUGAAUCUCUCGUGUGUUUGGUCGUCGAUUCAACUUGUUUGUUUUACUCCAGGAUUCUCCGCUCCAACACAGCUCCUUUGUGCAUGAUAAACCUUUGUUUACUAUGGAUCUCAUAUUUCCUGUUGGUUGGGAGCAGGUCAGCCAGAGCCAUGACGCCUCGAUAUCGGCUCCCUGGUGACGUCAUUCCUGAGCACUAUAACAUUAGUAUCUUAACGAAUUUAGACGACAACGAUUUCACCUACCACGGAAGAGUCACUAUCAAGUUAAAAUGUAUUCGAGCCACAAGCAAAAUCGUCCUGCACGCAUACACACUGACAAUAGGAACGGACGUGUUGCGGUGUCGGAAGCGCGAUCUGAAGGGGCUCCCAAACCGCAGCACAUCAAAAUCACAAAUUCUAGCUACGACACGGUGAAUGAGUUUUUCAUCGCCGAAACGAACAAGCCUCUGCAGCCAAACCGCACUUACAUAUACGAUAUACCUUACAAAGGCACACUGAACACCCACCUGUGGGGAUUUUACCGGUCGAGUUAUCUGGAUCAGAAAUCUAAUGAAACAAGAUGGCUGGCUGUAACCCCAAUUUUCUCCGAUCCACGCUCGGAAAGCUUUUCCAUGUUUUGACGAGCCUGCAAUGAAAGCAACAUUUUCAAUAAGUUUAAUUCACGACAAAAAAUACACAGCUUUAAGCAACAUGCGGUCAAACACACGUCUGUACUGUAAGUAUAGUCGAAAAGCGAUCAUAAAAUUUAUUUUUAUGAUUUUCAAAUGAAAGAAAGAAUAAG
rnacentral:lncRNA from 1 species